rnacentral:rRNA from 1 species
UACGUAGGGGGCAAGCGUUGUCCGGAUUUAUUGGGCGUAAAGAGCGUGUAGGCGGCCAGGUAGGUCCGCUGUGAAAACUCGAGGCUCAACCUCGAGACGUCGGCGGAAACCAUCUGGCUAGAGUCCGGAAGAGGAGAGUGGAAUUCCUGGUGUAGCGGUGAAAUGCGCAGAUAUCAGGAAGAAUAUCCGUGGCGAAGGCGGCUCUCUGGGACGGUACUGACGCUGAGACGCGAAAGCGUGGGGAGCGAACAGG